AUUAAACCCUAGGUUUAAAUUAUGGAGAAGGACUGAUCGACUAGUAAAAGGUUGGAUUACUAGUCGACUGUCUUCGACAACAUUGAGCCUUAUUACCGGGAUAGAAACAUCAAAAGGGGUAUGGGAUACAUUAAAAAAUACGCAUGCCCAAGAUUCAAUUGAAAGAGAGUUUUUACUGACGGAAAAGAUACAACUUAAAAAAGAAUCUUCUAUGCCAAUUCAAGACUUCUGAAAAUUAUAUUUGAUGAAUUGAAUUUGAUAGGAAGAAUACUUGGAGAUGUAGAAAUAACGUACUUCCUAUUGAAUGGAUUAGGAGAGAAAUAUGAGUCUUUUAAGACUGUCACACUAAAACCACCAGUCCCAUCUUAUAAUUCUGUGGUUCCGCAACUCAUUAGUUAUGAUUUGAGGAAUGGGUUAACGACUGAAAAAAAGUACUAAUUUAUUGUACAUGGAUAGGAAAAAUAAAG
rnacentral:lncRNA from 1 species